GGGCAUCGUUAGCUUUUCUAAAAUUUGUAUAUUAUACUAUACAAAUGCCCUUACUAUUUUUUGUUAAUCUUCAUUUGUUUAUUUAUAUACUCUGCAGUUUUGUCAACCUUAGAAGAGCUUGAUGGUAACUUGUGGGCAUGGCAACGGCUGCAUGCACAGAUGGAGCUAGCCACCGACCCAUCACCCAUGCCCCCCACCUGGCGCAUUUUCCACGCCGAUCCAACGAGAUAUGUUCGCUCAUACUCGAUUGUUGUGCAAUACACUCGUCGAAGCUCGCAUCCAAAGCUCAGAAGAGAAAGGGCGCAAUCAAGUACUGGAAAAACGAAUGUUGCAUUUCAGAUGUUUGAGAAAAUGCCUAAGAGAGCUAGGAGAUUAAACCUAACUAUCAAUGGAGGGAAUCGCCAUCCAAAGUAGAGGUUCAAUGACUUCUAAAUCUCACAAGGUCCUCCAACAGAGUUCCAUAAGGUUCGAGAACUCCAUGGAUUCCUCUUCAUCACCAAGGCCCUCAUUGCCUUCUACCAAACGCCACCAUAACGGUCGAGACAAUUGCAGUUACUCGUCGGGAUCAGACGACUAUUCCAACUGUAGCCGUAGCUGUAGUCCAUCAAUGGCUAUAGAGCCCAUCACUAGGAUUCAAAUCGCCGCCGUCAUCAUUCGGACUCCUAUGACCGUCUAGAUUUCAGAACAAGCCCUAGAAAGUUCGGCGAUGGAGACCAUUGCAGGAACAAGAGUCGUACGUAUCUCGAUUGCAAUUUCAGGGGUAGGCAUGGCGACUAUUCGGAGUCGGAGGAGCAGUUGAAGGGUUUGAGCUUCGAGGAGUACCGGAGAGUCAAGUGCCAGAAGCUCAGGAAGAUUGAAGAGGUGUAUUUGGAGCUUUACGCCGAGCCCUCUGAGGAACAAGAACGAGGAGGAGACGAAGCUGGAAGCAGAGGCAAUUGAAAAAGAAGAGGAAAGACUGGAGUAAGACCUUGACGUUUUUGGUUCUGACAGAGAGAUUGGGAUUGAUGAGAAAAUGUUCCGGCAAUUGGCAGACUAGACCUCGUUUAGUUAUUACAGAGCUUCGUCUUCCACAAAUAUUUCUUCGGGUUCUUCAACCCAAAGAGGACCUAUCAUUGGGGAAGACGAUUGGCAUUGCUAAGGAGUAUAAGGAAUUCUACUACUUUGAGGAGACUAAUGUGAGUGAACAAUGUAAAACAACUAUUUGUGAUUCUACAUCUAUUUCUAAUGAUAGUGAAAUUUUGUUAUGACAAUUUAGGAUGGGUCAUCCAAAUUUUCAAUGUCUAAGACGUUUGUUUCCUUCCAUUUUUUUCAAAUAAAACAUCUUCUGAAUUUCAGUGUGAAA